rnacentral:rRNA from 1 species
UACUCAGUUCGGAUUGAAGGCUGAAAUUCGCCUUCAUGAAGCCGGAAUUGCUAGUAAUGGCAGGUCAGCAUACUGCCGUGAAUACGUUCCCGGGCCUUGUACACACCGCCCGUCACACCAUGAGAGUUGGGAAUACCCGAAGCCUGUGAGCUAACUUUUAGAGGCAGCAGUCGAAGGUAGAAUCAAUGAUUGGGGUGAAGUCGUAACAAGGUAUC